UUUAUUCAUCUUUCCCCCAGUAUCUGGCACAAUAACCAAGCAGGUGAUUUCAACUAGGGCUGAAGUUAGUUCCUAUUAAGAUACCAUCUUUGGCCCUGACAGGUAGUUAGAGCGGAUUCCGGUCAAGGGCGUGUACCUGGGUUGCAGGUUCCAUCCCGCCUAGUCCAGGCGCGUGUGGGAGGCAAUCAAUCGUGUGUCUCUCUUACAAGGAAGUUUCUCCCUCCCCCUUCCACUUUCUCUGAAAAAUCAAUGGAAGAAAAAAAAAAUCCUCGGGUGAGGAUAAAAAAAAAAUACCAUCUUUGUCCGGAGGAGCUCACAAAUUAACGGGGAACGUGCUAAGCAUCAUUAAGUAAUCACUUCAGUAAAAGCUGUAGAAAGGGUAACAGGAACACGGGUUCCUGCCUUCCUUAUCAUUUACAUGGUCCAACAGGGUACAAGAGAGCUCUUGUAAUAGUUAACGCUUGAGUGCUUUCCUUGUGCCUCCGCGUUCCACGUGUUAAGUCUCAAGUCACACCCCCCAAAACCCUGUGUCCUCCAGCAGUGUCACCUGCUCCCCACUGGAGGACACAGGCACGGAGCUUACGUAACCCGUUACCCCUGAGAGGCAGGUUCGGCACCGCGCUCCACCGGACGGAAUCGGAAAAACCAGAUGAAUCCCAAGAACAAACUGGUGAUUUCCCCGAGGGAACGGACGAGUUUGGAGGAGUGAUGGGUGCAAGGUACAGAAGGAGCAGAGGCAAGGGUCUACUGACGAGAAGGCUGCAGAAGUUGGCACAGGAGUUUGAAAAACAAAAAGGCGCUUCUCGGGGCUGCAUUACUCAGCGGCGAUUAGGAAAGCAGGAGGGAAAGAACCGGUGAACGACACCUGCGGAGCCCCCGGAUCCCGGGGUCCCAGGAACCGGUCGGAAAUGACAUCAAUAGAGAGGCUGGGCGCUCAGCGGUACAGCGGCCUGGGGACCACCGGCCGGAAGUGAGGCGGCGGAAGUCCCGCCCCGGAGGCGGUGCCGGGUGUGAGGGGCGUCGCGAUGGGCGGGGAGGAGCUUCGCUGAUCCUCCAGGAACCCUGGAUCCCCGACAGGUAACCUGCUGGCCGAACCUGGACCCUGGCGAGGCUCGGGGUUCGGGUUGGUGGCCCAGUUUGCUCGGGGCCCCACGCUCGGGCCGGGGGAAGUGGAUCUCACGUGAAGGGGUGGCCCGGGGACAGGCUCCGGGGCGUGGGACUCCUAGGGUGAUGGGGAUACGAGAAACUUUGGGGACGGGGUCGUGAGGGCCGAGGUCGCCGAGGAAAUACCGACUGAGUCUCCAGGACUCGGUCACGGCUGCGGGUCGUGGGCUCCGGAGCCUUGGCGCUCGGGGAUGGAGAGAUGGAGCCUGGGCGCUGAGGUGCGCUGACCUAGAGUUCAGUUGCCGCCUGCACUGAGCCCAGUGCAGCUCGGCGAGCAGCGGGCAGGGACUUGCCUUUUCAUCUCUGCAUCCCGUGCUUUGCCACGAUGGGCGUCCUUCAGAUGCCGUCGGGUAGGGACUGAUGAACGCACGAAGCUGACUGCCGCACCGGGGGUGGGGGGUGCGGGUGGGGUCCGGGGGGACCUUGUCCCGAAUUGUAGUGCCCCUGCCUCCGAAUGUAGAAGUGACUCCAGCGUGGUUCGUUCACCAGUGGUUUAUGCGGAUGCCGGUGUGGUAGACAUUCCGGACAUUGUUUUGUGGUUAUUGAAAUUUAGAAAUGUGCCCUCAUAUUUAUUUUAUUUUAUUAUUAUUUUAUUUAAUUUAUUUUAUUGUAUUGUGUUUAUUUAUUAUUUUAUUAUUUUAUUUUAUUGGCAUGGGAAGAGAAGGCAAUUAAUUUGACUUCUUUCAGGUUUCUUCACUAUUCUGGAAAGAACUUCCGGAUGAAUGAUACCGGGGAGGAGAGUUGGCCAUCAAAUAAGAAGCUGCAGCUUAUAGCGCUGAGCUUCUAAUUUGCGUUCUAAGUGCUUUCUUCUCAUGAAUAUGAACUCAUUUUCCUUUUUCUUAAUAUUUUCUUUUUUUAUAUUGGGGUUCCUUUACGUUUGAGAUGUAAAUGGGAAUUAUUUCAUAACCAAGAUAAAAGUAGUAAUUUAUGAAAAUCCAGUCAGAGAUUUCACCUGGUGGGUUCACAUAAGGUUAACUCCUUCCAAACAGUUGUAGGAGGCCUCAGAGAGAAUAAAUCACAGAAGAUUAAAUUGUUUCCUUUGUAAACUAUUUGUUCUGAUGUCUUAACUGUGAUGAAAAGUGGGAAUAGAUAUAAAGAGCAAGUACUGUAACCAGAUUGGUGUUGGUUGUCAGGCUGUGUAAUGGGAUCUGAGCAUGAAUCACUAACUGCAGUCCCAGGAGGUUCUAGAUCUUAUUAUUAGAUUGGAUAUGAUGCAGUAGGCAAACCUGAAUUUAUGGCUUUGUUUUUGUUUUUGUUUUGUUGCUUUGGUGUGUGUUUUUUACAAAGAAGAAACUAGUAAGCAUUUUUAGAUUAAAAAAAAAAUCUAAGAUGUUCUUAAAAAUAGGUUGGGGAAAAAAAGAAGUAGACAUGUAAAUAAAUAUUGCAGUCAUUUAAAUUCUAAAAGUUUGCCUGCCUUUCAAACUUGUUUUCCCAAUGUCUGGAAAGUGUUGGUAUCCAAAUCACCCCCAUCAUUGUAUGUUUUUGCUUUGCUGUCAACUUUUCAAUGUAUAUAAAUAUGGUAUAAAGUUAGGUUUUGAGACCCUCUAGAUUUACUUGAAUAUUAAUGUCUUACUUAAAAAUAAAGUUUAAUUUUGCUUCCUCAAUCUGCUGUUCAAUGUCAUAUCCACUUACUUUGCACAUCUAAAUGUCUGUAUUCAUAAUGGUAACUAUUGUAACUAGUAUUCAUAAUAAAUUGGUAUCCAAGUGGUGACUUAGGUUUGUGCAUUGACAUUCUUGAGGUUUUCAGUUUUGCAGAACACUGGUAUCCAUGGACUCUAACAUGGACUUCAUUUAAAGAAAUCCACGGACCAUUAACGGACAAAAACAUGAGUCAUUUUGUAUUGUGGCAUUCAAAUCCUAGCACUUUGGGAAAGCAUCAAGUACAAGUUUUUGAAGACCCUGAGGCCUACCAUCAUUAUGCAUUCAAGAUUUGAGUUUGAAUAACUUCAUCAAGACUUAGAUCCUCUUCAAAAGUCUCAAGUUUCAUCUGCAUUAAAGCUCUCCAUUGAACUCUGUCACAAAAUUAAAAGCGUAAAGGGACUAAAAUCCAUUAGUACAUUCCAUUGUAUACCCUUUUCUCUGAUCGCUCCAAUUUCCUUCACCGUAGGGUCUUUCAUAUUGCUUAUGUUCCUUUGCCUAGAGCCAAGGAAACAGCGUUUUC